rnacentral:rRNA from 1 species
GAUGAACGCUGGCGGCGUGCCUAAUACAUGCAAGUCGAGCGAACAGACGAGGAGCUUGCUCCUCUGACGUUAGCGGCGGACGGGUGAGUAACACGUGGAUAACCUACCUAUAAGACUGGGAUAACUUCGGGAAACCGGAGCUAAUACCGGAUAAUAUAUUGAACCGCAUGGUUCAAUAGUGAAAGACGGUUUUGCUGUCACUUAUAGAUGGAUCCGCGCCGCAUUAGCUAGUUGGUAAGGUAACGGCCUACCAAGGCAACGAUGCGUAGCCGACCUGAGAGGGUGAUCGGCCACACUGGAACUGAGACACGGUCCAGACUCCUACGGGAGGCAGCAGUAGGGAAUCUUCCGCAAUGGGCGAAAGCCUGACGGAGCAACGCCGCGUGAGUGAUGAAGGUCUUCGGAUCGUAAAACUCUGUUAUUAGGGAAGAACAAAUGUGUAAGUAACUAUGCACGUCUUGACGGUACCUAAUCAGAAAGCCACGGCUAACUACGUG